rnacentral:rRNA from 1 species
UACGGAGGAUCCAAGCGUUAUCCGGAAUCAUUGGGUUUAAAGGGUCCGUAGGUGGAUAAUUAAGUCAGGGGUGAAAGUCUGCAGCUCAACUGUAGAAUUGCCUUUGAUACUGGUUAUCUUGAAUUAUUAUGAAGUAGUUAGAAUAUGUAGUGUAGCGGUGAAAUGCAUAGAUAUUACAUAGAAUACCGAUUGCGAAGGCAGAUUACUAAUAAUAUAUUGACACUGAUGGACGAAAGCGUGGGUAGCGAACAGG